CCCCUAAUGCAAUUGAAUCACUAUAUCUAGUUGAGAACAAUCAACAUCAGAAAGAUGUUCGCACAACUAUGAUGGUGGAAGACUGCUAGACUUAAUAUGUGCAAGAAGAUUUUAAUUUAGAUCUCAUCUAAUUAAUUAUCUACAUCUCAUGCAAAUAACUAAUCUCAAUGGUAUGGGUAGAGCACAAAUUACCAAGCAUCUAAUUCAAAACUAAUCAACUAAAUUGGCCAGAUAAGUGAAGAUUGGUGGGA
rnacentral:lncRNA from 1 species